AGAGUUUGAUCCUGGCUCAGAGCGAACGCUGGCGGCGUGCUUAACACAUGCAAGUCGAACGCGCAGCAUUCUGUAGCAAUACAGGGUGUGGGCGCGUGGCGAACGGGUGCGUAACACGUGGAUAACCUUCCUUCAGGUGGGGAAUAACCCAGUGAAAAUUGGGCUAAUACCGCAUAACAUCGCGAUGGCACAUGCUGUUGCGUUCAAAGGCGCAAGUCGCCAGAAGAGGGAUCCGCGGCCGAUUAGCUUGUUGGCGGGGUAACGGCCCACCAAGGCUUUGAUCGGUAGCCGGACUGAGAGGUUGGCCGGCCACACUGGAACUGAGACACGGUCCAGACUCCUACGGGAGGCAGCAGUGGGGAAUCUUGCACAAUGGACGAAAGUCUGAUGCAGCAACGCCGCGUGGGGGAUGAAGCUUCUCGGAGUGUAAACCCCUUUCGACCCGGACGAAUGCCCGCAAGGGUUUGACGGUACGGGUAUAAGAAGCCCCGGCUAACUACGUGCCAGCAGCCGCGGUAAUACGUAGGGGGCCAGCGUUGCUCGGAAUUACUGGGCGUAAAGGAUCCGUAGGCGGUGCGGCAAGUCGAUAGUGAAAUCUCUGGGCUUAACCCAGAGGCUGCUAACGAAACUGCCGUGCUAGAGUGUGAGAGAGGCGAGUGGAAUUACGGGUGUAGCGGUGAAAUGCGUAGAUAUCCGUAGGAACAUCCGAGGCGAAAGCGGCUCGCUGGAUCACAACUGACGCUGAGG
rnacentral:rRNA from 1 species